rnacentral:lncRNA from 1 species
CCAUCACAUGGCCGACCAAAACUAAUAAAAAGGGUGUAAUUGCCCUUUAAAAGCCCUCAAUUUAAGUUCUUUAGCUAUUUAACUCAUUUGGGUACUAAAAUGCAACUUUUGCCUUUUAUGCGAUUUAGUCCUUUUUCGAAAUUGGGCUAGAAAACAUUAAAAUUAUCUCACCAAAUUUUCCAUGCACUAAUAAAAUCAUACUAU